AUUGAACGCUGGCGGCAGGCCUAACACAUGCAAGUCGAACGGUAACAGGAAGCAGCUUGCUGCUUUGCUGACGGGUGGCGGACGGGUGAGUAAUGUCUGGGAAACUGCCCGAUGGAGGGGGAUAACUACUGGAAACGGUAGCUAAUACCGCAUAACGUCGCAAGACCAAAGAGGGGGACCUUAGGGCCUCUUGCCAUCGGAUGUGCCCAGAUGGGAUUAGCUAGUAGGUGGGGUAACGGCUCACCUAGGCGACGAUCCCUAGCUGGUCUGAGAGGAUGACCAGCCACACUGGAACUGAGACACGGUCCAGACUCCUACGGGAGGCAGCAGUGGGGAAUAUUGCACAAUGGGCGCAAGCCUGAUGCAGCCAUGCCGCGUGUAUGAAGAAGGCAUUCGGGUUGUAAAGUACUUUCAGCGGGGAGGAAGGGAGUAAAGUUAAUACCUUUGCUCAUUGACGUUACCCGCAGAAGAAGCACCGGCUAACUCCGUG
rnacentral:rRNA from 1 species